AUUUGCUAUUCAAGUGUUCUUACUUCCUAUAUAUGUAAGGGGAAAUUUUAUAAAAAGAACCCUCAAUAGUGAAAAUUAAAAAUUUUUUUUGGGUAGAUUGAAAAUUUAAAAUUUGAUCAUUGAUACAUAUGAUCUGCCAAACGUGGCCUGGCCAAUGCCAAUAAGGGCUUGGCUUUGGGCAUUGUCAUGCCAUAAACCUCAGUGGUAUCAAUAUCCUCGUGCCUUAGCCCCUUUGGUGGAGCCCAAUCAAAGGCGUGAA
rnacentral:misc_RNA from 1 species